rnacentral:lncRNA from 1 species
GCUGUCCCCAGCACAAGCCGAGCUGGCAUGGAGGCAGCUGCAGCCGCCGGAAACAACGAGAGGAAUGCUACUGGCUCCACACAAAAGGGAAAGCGCAAGGAUGUGAGUGGUGCCAACGGCGACGUCAAUCGCGGCAAGAAGUCAUAGGGGGAACGACGCCACAAGUGCGAAAUAUGUGACAAAUCAUUU